GUGUCAGCCGCCGCGGUAAUACGUAGGAUCCGAGCGUUGUCCGGAAUUACUGGGUGUAAAGGGCGUGUAGGUGGAUUUCUGUGUCGGUGGUGAAAUCCUGCGGCUUAACCGCAGAAUGGCCAUCGAAACUGGGAAUCUUGAGUGCGGCAGAGGGAGAUGGAAUUCAUGGUGUAGCGGUGAAAUGUGUAGAUAUCAUGAAGAACACCGGUAGCGAAGGCGGUCUCCUGGUCCGCAACUGACACUGAGGCGCGAAAGCGUGGGGAGCAAACAGGAUUAGAAACCCCGGUAGUCC
rnacentral:rRNA from 1 species